AGUGAACGCUGGCGGUAGGCCUAACACAUGCAAGUCGAACGGCAGCACAGGAGAGCUUGCUCUCUGGGUGGCGAGUGGCGGACGGGUGAGGAAUACAUCGGAAUCUACUUUUUCGUGGGGGAUAACGUAGGGAAACUUACGCUAAUACCGCAUACGACCUACGGGUGAAAGCAGGGGACCUUCGGGCCUUGCGCGAUUGAAUGAGCCGAUGUCGGAUUAGCUAGUUGGCGGGGUAAAGGCCCACCAAGGCGACGAUCCGUAGCUGGUCUGAGAGGAUGAUCAGCCACACUGGAACUGAGACACGGUCCAGACUCCUACGGGAGGCAGCAGUGGGGAAUAUUGGACAAUGGGCGCAAGCCUGAUCCAGCCAUACCGCGUGGGUGAAGAGGGCCUUCGGGUUAUAAAGCCCUUUUGUUGGGAAAGAAAUCCAGCUGGCUAAUACCCGGUUGGGAUGACGGUACCCAAAGAAUAAGCACCGGCUAACUUCGUGCCAGCCGCCGCGGUAA
rnacentral:rRNA from 1 species